UGGGGAAUAUUGGACAAUGGGCGCAAGCCUGAUCCAGCCAUGCCGCGUGAGUGAUGAAGGCCCUAGGGUUGUAAAGCUCUUUCACCGGUGAAGAUAAUGACGGUAACCGGAGAAGAAGCCCCGGCUAACUUCGUGCCAGCAGCCGCGGUAAUACGAAGGGGGCUAGCGUUGUUCGGAUUUACUGGGCGUAAAGCGCACGUAGGCGGACUAUUAAGUCAGGGGUGAAAUCCCGGGGCUCAACCCCGGAACUGCCUUUGAUACUGGUAGUCUUGAGUUCGAGAGAGGUGAGUGGAAUUCCGAGUGUAGAGGUGAAAUUCGUAGAUAUUCGGAGGAACACCAGUGGCGACGGCGGCUCACUGGCUCGAUACUGACGCUGAGGUGCGAAAGCGUGGGGAGCAAACAGG
rnacentral:rRNA from 1 species